rnacentral:lncRNA from 1 species
GGAAACUCUCAAUAAAGGGAAAGACAGCCACAGAGCACAGAGUGGUGCCUGAGAAUGUGGUACCCAAGCCGAGGCUGUCUUGACCCCAGCUCUGUUAUUCGCUAGCUGCUCUGGUUUGGGUGUGGUUUGUCCCUUGAGGGUCCCUGUGUCUGGAGGCUUAAUCUCCAGUGUGGCAAUGUGAGAGAAAAUGGAAUCUGAAAGAGGCGGAGCCUCAUGAGAGGUGAUUGGAUCAUUGGGAGAUGUCCUUGGAGGGAACAGACCUAGCUCUCUAGUGGGACCCUGCUUCAUUCUCAAGAGGAUCCUUAUAAAAGAACAAGAAUGGCCCUUCUCUGUUUUUCUGCUUCCUGUCUCAUUAGGUGAUCUCUCCCUCUUGCUCACACUCCCACCAUUGUGAUGCCACCCGCCAUGAGGCCCCCACUAGAGCCCAGUAGAAGCUAGUGCCGCACUCUUGAGCCUCCA